rnacentral:rRNA from 1 species
GACAGAGGGUGCAAACGUUGUUCGGAAUUACUGGGCGUAAAGCGCGUGCAGGCGGCAAGGCAGGUCGGAUGUGAAAGCCCGCGGCUCAACCGUGGAAGUGCACUCGAAACCGCCUAGCUGGAGUCUCGGAGAGGAAGGUGGAAUGCUUGGUGUAGAGGUGAAAUUCGUAGAUAUCAAGCAGAACACCUGUGGCGAAGGCGGGUCUCUGGGCAGUAACUGACGCUGAGGAGCGAAAGCGUGGGGAGCGAACAGG